UGGGGAAUAUUGCGCAAUGGGCGAAAGCCUGACGCAGCAACGCCGCGUGAGUGAUGAAGGCCUUCGGGUCGUAAAACUCUGUCGGAGGGAACGAAUGCUCCUGAAGUUAACAGCCUCAGGAGGUGACGGUACCCUCAAAGGAAGCACCGGCUAACUACGUGCCAGCAGCCGCGGUAAUACGUAGGGACCAAGCGUUGUUCGGAUUUACUGGGCGUAAAGGGCGCGUAGGCGGCAAUUCAAGUCAUCUGUGAAAUCUCCGGGCUUAACUCGGAACGGUCAGAUGAUACUGCUUUGCUAGAGUGCAGAAGGGGCAAUCGGAAUUCUUAGUGUAGCGGUGAAAUGCGUAGAUAUCAAGAGGAACACCUGAGGUGAAGACGGGUUGCUGGGCUGACACUGACGCUGAGGCGCGAAAGCCAGGGGAGCAAACGGGGAUUAGAUACCCAGGUAGUCCCUGAGCGGGCUGGCAAGGCGCAU
rnacentral:rRNA from 1 species